UGGGGAAUAUUGCACAAUGGGCGAAAGCCUGAUGCAGCGACGCCGCGUGAGGGAUGACGGCCUUCGGGUUGUAAACCUCUUUCAGUAGGGACGAAGCGCAAGUGACGGUACCUGCAGAAGAAGCACCGGCUAACUACGUGCCAGCAGCCGCGGUAAUACGUAGGGUGCGAGCGUUGUCCGGAAUUACUGGGCGUAAAGAGCUCGUAGGCGGUUUGUCACGUAGUCUGUGAAAUCCUAGGGCUUAACCCUGGACGUGCAGGCGAUACGGGCUGACUUGAGUACUACAGGGGAGACUGGAAUUUCUGGUGUAGCGGUGGAAUGCACAGAUAUCAGGAAGAACACCGAUGGCGAAGGCAGGUCUCUGGGUAGUAACUGACGCUGAGGAGCGAAAGCAUGGGUAGCGAACAGG
rnacentral:rRNA from 1 species